rnacentral:lncRNA from 1 species
AAUGCAAGUAGAUUAAAUGAUCCUACUCUUUAUUCUUAAUCAUUCUUUACUCUUAGCCACUCAUUAUCGCUAAUCAUUCUUUACUUUAUUAGCUAUUCUUUAACACUAGCCGUUCUUUACUACUCGUCAUUCUUUAUUCUUUGACAUUCUUUAUUAUUAUUAGCCACUCUUUAUGCUCUAUCAUUCUUUCCUAAGGUUACUUUACCUUAGCCAACUAUGCCACUCGACUCGGUCUUGAGUCAAUCAUCUGCGGAUAAUCCGCGCUCUGUC